UUUGAUCCUGGCUCAGAACGAACGCUGGCGGCAGGCUUAACACAUGCAAGUCGAGCGCCCCGCAAGGGGAGCGGCAGACGGGUGAGUAACGCGUGGGAAUYUACCCUUUUYUACGGAAUAACGCAGGGAAACUUGUGCUAAUACCGUAUGAGCCCUUCGGGGGAAAGAUUUAUCGGGAAAGGAUGAGCCCGCGUUGGAUUAGCUAGUUGGUGGGGUAAAGGCCUACCAAGGCGACGAUCCAUAGCUGGUYUGAGAGGAUGAUCAGCCACAUUGGGACUGAGACACGGCCCAAACUCCUACGGGAGGCAGCAGUGGGGAAUAUUGGACAAUGGGCGCAAGCCUGAUCCAGCCAUGCCGCGUGAGUGAUGAAGGCCCUAGGGUUGUAAAGCUCUU
rnacentral:rRNA from 1 species